rnacentral:lncRNA from 1 species
AAAGACCAGAUUUUCUACAAGAAACAGAGGUUGGAAGCAGAGGAUUUCAUGAGAAUUUGCUAAGGAGAGAGAAAGACAGAGGUUAGGGUGGAAGAGUGGAUGCUUUGAGUAAUUUUCCAGCAGCUCUACAAAGGGUUUGUCGGGCUCUGGAAUGGCUUGCCAGAUGAGAGGAUGGGGAGAGAUGGAGGAAUAGGGCUCGAAAUUGAAGGGGUUUCAAGGAUGAGAGGUGAAGCUUGCUCUCUUGAUGUGGGUUUGUUCUGAUGGGUAGGAGAUGCCCAUUUUAUAGCCGCUAGAAGCUCCUCAAUCCUAAGAAACCUUAAUGUGUUCUCUCUAAUUUGGCCAAGUCUCCCCUUUCAUUUCUCUUCUCUCCCUUUGAUUCAUCCUAUUUUGUGAAACCUUCCUCUGUCCAAACACACAAAGACAAGAUUUUUCGGAGCUCUAAGGCCUUAUCGCAGCUGCUUCUGUGUUAAACUCCUAUUUUUGGCUACCACCUUACCUUCUU